rnacentral:rRNA from 1 species
UACGUAGGUGGCAAGCGUUGUCCGGAAUUAUUGGGCGUAAAGCGCGCGCAGGCGGUUCCUUAAGUCUGAUGUGAAAUCUCGCGGCUCAACCGCGAGCGGCCAUUGGAAACUGGGGAACUUGAGUGCAGGAGAGGGGAGCGGAAUUCCACGUGUAGCGGUGAAAUGCGUAGAGAUGUGGAGGAACACCAGUGGCGAAGGCGGCUCUCUGGCCUGUAACUGACGCUGAGGAGCGAAAGCGUGGGGAGCGAACAGGAUUAGAUACCCGGGUAGUCC